rnacentral:misc_RNA from 1 species
GAACGCAUCUUGCACUCCUUGGUAUUCCGAAGAGCAUGCUUGUUUGAGUAUCAGUAAACACCUCAAAGCUUUUGAUUUUUUUUAAAAAAAAAAAAAGUUUUGGACUUGAGCAAUCCCAACACCAAUCUUUUUUAGAUCGGCGGCGGGUUGCUUGAAAUGCAGGUGCAGCUGGACAUUCUCCUGAGCUAAAAGCAUAUUUAUUUAGUCCCGUCAAACGGAUUAUUACUUUUGCUGCAGCUAAUAUAAAGGGAGUUUGACCGUAUUGGCUGACUGAUGCAGGAAUUCACAAGGGUCGGCAACGAUUCUUGUAAAACUCGAUCUCAAAUCAAGUAAGACUACCCGCUGAACUUAAG